rnacentral:pre_miRNA from 1 species
CCCCUAACUAUUAAAAGUUUCGUUUUGGUCCCUUAACUUAUUUUUUGGUUUCGUUUUGGUCCCUUAACUCUUCCUCCGUCAACCACUUUGGUCCUUUAUGUUAGGAUGAAUGUAUUAGAGUUAAGGACCAAAACGAAAUCAAAAAAUAAGUUAAGUGACCAAAACGAAACCAAAAAAUAAGUUAAGGGACCAAAACGAAACUUUUAAUAGUUAAGGGAUCAAAACAAAACCAAAAAAUAAGUUAAGGGACCAAAACGAAACUUUUAAUAAUUAAGGGA